rnacentral:rRNA from 1 species
AUACGGAGGGUGCAAGCGUUACUCGGAAUCACUGGGCGUAAAGCGCGCGCAUGCGGUCUUUUAAGUUGGAUGUGAAAGCCUACGGCUCAACCGUAGAACUGCAUCCAAAACUAUUAGACUAGAGUGUGGGAGAGGAGGAUGGAAUUAGUUGUGUAGGGGUAAAAUCCGUAGAGAUAACUAGGAAUACCAAAAGCGAAGGCAAUCUUCUGGAACACUACUGACGCUGAGGCGCGAAAGCGUGGGGAGCAAACAGGAUUAGAAACCCCGGUAGUCC